ACUCCUACGGGAGGCAGCAGUGGGGAAUAUUGCGCAAUGGGCGAAAGCCUGACGCAGCGACGCCGCGUGGGGGAUGAAGGUCUUCGGAUUGUAAACCCUUUCGGCAGGGAAGAUGGGCGGCACCGCUCGGACGGUACCUGCAGAAGCAGCCACGGCUAACUUCGUGCCAGGCAGCCGCGGUAAUACGAAGGUGGCAAGCGUUGUUCGGAUUUACUGGGCGUACAGGGAGCGUAGGCGGUUAGGUAAGCCCUUCGUGAAAUCUCCGGGCCUAA
rnacentral:rRNA from 1 species